CCGAAACCUCAAAAUAUAGAAAUUUUUUUUCCGGCGACCAAUUCCGGCGAACCAACACCUAAAAUUUAUUCCCCACAUCCUCUUGAGUAAGGUGGCGAAGCACCUCCAAAGGGAAGGAAACCGCCAAUCAGUGUGCGCGUCUCCAUGCGAGGCAACAUGUCUUGUUUUAGUGGUUUGGGUCGUCAUAGCGAGGCGAAGUGUUAGCAGUUUGCAUUCCAAGUCAGGAGUUUGUGAGCCUUGCGAUGACUCGAGGGUUGAGUGGUGUGUGUCCCUCCUCGGGAUCGUCGCGGCGGUUGUCACGUGGCGGGCCCGCGGGUCGGGACGUGACAUUGGAUGUGAGGUUUACGAGCUGCACAAGGUUGCCAGUAAAGUGGGCAGGCAAUUCGCGGCUGCACAAGCUCCGCACAUGAACAGUGACAUUGCUACAACAUAGUGACCAAUAACAUUGUUACAGUGACUUCCGUUGAAAUUUUUACUGUUCCAAAAAUGGAAAACCCCAACACUACAGAAUGUUUUACAAAACUGCUUGGAAGUUAAAG